rnacentral:lncRNA from 1 species
CUCCUCUCUCUCUGUCUUCAUCUCUCCUCUCCUUCUGUUAGUAUCUCUGAUCCCUCCUCUCUCUCUGUCUACAUCUCUCCUCUCCUUCUGUUAGUAUCUCUGAUCCCUCCUCUCUCUGUCUACAUCUCUCCUCUCCUUCUUAUCUCUGAUCCCUCCUCUCUCUCUGUCUACAUCUCUCCUUCUGUUAGUAUCUCUGAUCCCUCCUCUCUCUCUGUCUACAUCUCUCCUCUCCUUCUGUUAGUAUCUCUGAUCCCUCCUCUCUCUCUGUCUACAUCUCUCCUUCUGUUAGUAUCUCUGAUCCCUCCUCUCUCUCUGUCUUCAUCUCUCCUCUCCUUCUGUUAGUAUCUCUGAUCCCUCCUCUCUCUCUGUCUACAUCUCUCCUCUCCUUCUGUUAGUAUCUCUGAUCCCUCCUCU